GAAGGGGGACGAAAAGAAAAAAGAUCGGCCUAAGGAUCAACAAUUCGGUAGCAACCAACAGGAACAAAAAGAAUGUGACUGCAAGAAAAAGAAGAAAGAAAAAAUGGGUAGAAAAGUGUACAAAAUAGAAAAGAAGAAGAAAAAAAUAAAAAUAAGUAUCAAAAAUUCACUAGCAAUAUUCGGUAGAGGAAGGAGAACAAUUGACAGAAAAUUGAGAGGAAACAAAAGCUAAAGCUGAAAUUUUGGGAAAGAAAUCAGUUUUGGCACCACUACUAGUCACCUCCCUUGAUCCACUCUUUAAAACUCUCCUACUAUGCCUCCACAAAUCGUCCACUUCCCAC
rnacentral:lncRNA from 1 species